rnacentral:rRNA from 1 species
GACGAACGCUGGCGGCGUGCUUAACACAUGCAAGUCGAACGGAAAGGCCCUGCUUUUGUGGGGUGCUCGAGUGGCGAACGGGUGAGUAACACGUGAGUAACCUGCCCUUGACUUUGGGAUAACUUCAGGAAACUGGGGCUAAUACCGGAUAGGAGCUCCUGCUGCAUGGUGGGGGUUGGAAAGUUUCGGCGGUUGGGGAUGGACUCGCGGCUUAUCAGCUUGUUGGUGGGGUAGUGGCUUACCAAGGCUUUGACGGGUAGCCGGCCUGAGAGGGUGACCGGAAACAUUGGGACUGAGAUACGGCCCAGACGCCUACGGGAGGCAGCAGUGGGGAAUAUUGCACAAUGGGCGGAAGCAUGAUGCAGCAACGCCGCGUGCGGGAUGACGGCCUUCGGGUUGUAAACCGAUUUCGCCUGUGACGAAGCGUGAGUGACGGUAAUGGGUAAAGAAGCACCGGCUAACUACGUG